AUUGAACGCUGGCGGCAUGCUUUACACAUGCAAGUCGAACGGCAGCACGGGCUUCGGCCUGGUGGCGAGUGGCGAACGGGUGAGUAAUGCAUCGGAACGUACCGUGUAAUGGGGGAUAACGUAGCGAAAGUUACGCUAAUACCGCAUACGCCCUGAGGGGGAAAGCGGGGGAUCGUAAGACCUCGCGUUAUACGAGCGGCCGAUGUCGGAUUAGCUAGUUGGUGGGGUAAAGGCCUACCAAGGCGACGAUCCGUAGCGGGUCUGAGAGGAUGAUCCGCCACACUGGGACUGAGACACGGCCCAGACUCCUACGGGAGGCAGCAGUGGGGAAUUUUGGACAAUGGGCGCAAGCCUGAUCCAGCCAUGCCGCGUGAGUGAAGAAGGCCUCGG
rnacentral:rRNA from 1 species